CUAAUACUGCAGUCACACCAUGUCUGAAUACAUACUGAAAAUUACAUAAUGACAAUUUGACAAAUUCAAAUUCUUCCAGAAAGGUUUAUAUAAAAAAUGAAGCCUAUAAUAAGUAGGUAUCUAACUAAGAUUCAGCCAGGCUUUCUAGUGUUUGUGUAAGUAUCGUCACUGACUGAGUGUCAUAAUUUGUCUGAGGAAAAGUGUUGUCAGCGCUGUGUUGAAGGUCUUCUUCUGUAAUCUGACUCCAAUGGUUUCCUCAGCAACAGACGUGGCUUUGUUGUAAUCCUGCAUCUUUCAUGAAGAUAGACUCAGUGAACAGGUGAGACACUUUCUCUUUUCAUGUUGAAGGUACAGUAGCACUGUCUGUUAUGUUUGAAUUUGAUUAUGAAGUACGACAAGAAAUCAAUUCAUUGUUGACUGUGUGUGUAGUGUAUAUAGAGUAAAUUUUUAUUCAUUUAUUUUUUUCUAUUUCAAGGCAUUUGGGACAUUGAAAUCGAGCUUACACAAAGUGCCUUGUCUUUUAUAGGAUGGAAGAGUGUUUGCAUUUGGUCUGUGAGUCGAUGGGUGUACAUGAGGAGGAUGAGGUCAGCGUGGACGAGAUCUGUUCCCUCUAUAAGAGCGUCUUCCUCAUCACCGCCAGCCUGGAUGAGACAAAGAGAGCCAUUUCACAGCUGUACUGGGAUCUCCAGAUGUUGACGGCUGGUAGAGUCAAUCAUAAACAAAACACACAAUCAUCAACAAUCAACUUCAGCUCCAGACAACAGAAGCAGGAUCCAGAGCAGUUUAGUAUCUUGUGUCUUCAGAACAGAGCCAAGAGACUUUGCACGAGACUCAUUCUUGACGGCGUGUGGAGUGUCCUACCGUCUCUUUCUCAGAGGAUAGCCGGCGUCAUGCGACCGGGCAGGAUCUGUGCCAGCACUAGCGACAUCCUCCAGCUCCUGUAUUACAAAUAUGAGGUCAUCAGAGAGCGACUGUACAAAGAGAUGUUACAGGAUGAAUAUGGUGUUAUUUGGUGGAACUCGAUGUCAGCGUGGGAUCAGACAGAAUGUGUGUGUGAAUUAGGAGUGUGUGUAGAGCUGGCUUUCAGACACAGAGACUGGCUUCAGGUGUGUGGGCUUCCCGGGGCCUUCUGUUGCUACAGGAGCUGUGGUUCUGUGGUCUUGCGAGGCUGUCCUGAGAGUGUUAAAUCUAGAGAUCAGGCUUGGUCAUCUAAACCGAGGGAACAGGCCUGGUCCGCUGUCAUCUUCCUGUCGGAGCUGGAGUCACAUUAUCAAGAUGAGAAGGAAUCGAUCAGCACGCUCAUGAACAGAUUGGGACAGGAAGCUCUGCAUAUUAUAUAUCUCAGUUUGUGUGUUGCUGUGCGGAGAGCCGAGAGAGAGAAUCAGUCCUACACGGCGCUGCUGGUCGCCAGACAGCACUGGGACAGAUGGCCUUAUAUGAGAUGUUCAGUCAGUCAGGAUCUCACCAGGAUCUGGAUUCAGGAAAAUGUGGAUCUCACUGCUAAAAAACAGCAGGGCUGGAAAACAGGAAAUUGUGCACAACAGGCUGUGCUGCAGUUUUUGGUUCUGUGUCAGGAGCAGGAAAGGAAACGAUUGGUGGAGAUCGUUCACAGGCUUUCCCUGAGUGACCUCGAGGCAAACAUUCAGAAAAACAGUUAA
rnacentral:lncRNA from 1 species